UACGAAGGGGGCUAGCGUUGCUCGGAAUCACUGGGCGUAAAGGGUGCGUAGGCGGGUCUUUAAGUCAGGGGUGAAAUCCUGGAGCUCAACUCCAGAACUGCCUUUGAUACUGAGGAUCUUGAGUUCGGGAGAGGUGAGUGGAACUGCGAGUGUAGAGGUGAAAUUCGUAGAUAUUCGCAAGAACACCAGUGGCGAAGGCGGCUCGCUAGACUGGUAUUGACGCUGAGGUGCGGAAGCGUGGGGAGCAAACAGG
rnacentral:rRNA from 1 species